AUUUCUUUUGGAGAAUAAAGGGAUUAGAGCCAAGAAGAACUCAUAACUCAAGUUCCAUUUUCGUAUUCCAUGGCAUCCUCCACUAAAUCAGAGAGCUACGGAUUUCUUGAUGAUGGAGAUGGAAGUUUGAGCAAGAGGGAGAUGCAAUAGUAACAAGAGCACCAUCUUAACCUCCAUUUGAUCCAAGGUGCAGUUUAGUAGCUUUUGAUAGAUAGCAGGUUCAGAUUGAUGGCUUGAAGUGGUGUUGGCUCGAAGACCUCGUUGGUUUUGACUUUCCGCUGUGCAAGAUCCAUUGAAGACACAUGUUUUGUAAUUCUUAUUGGAAUUUCAUGUUGUAUUUUAUAUGGAUCUUUCUAUAACUAUGGCUUUUGUAUGUACUCA